UUUUUUUCCUCUAUUCUACACGAUUUGAUGAAAUGGAGGUAUUAGAAAUUCUAGAAUUUAAAAAUAAUAUAUAGUUAUUUAGAUAAAUUAAAUUUUUUUAAAAAAAUUUACAUGUAGGACCCACCUUGCCACGUCAGAUUGCCACAUAAGCAAUCAUUAACGUCGUUUGGCAAUUUUUCCUUAAGUGCUAAUGUGUUAGACCAUGGAUCCUUAACCGC
rnacentral:lncRNA from 1 species